rnacentral:rRNA from 1 species
GUAUACAUGCAAGUCGAGCGGACCUCCGGGUCAGCGGCGGACGGGUGAGGAACACGUGAGUGAUCGGGCUGUGAGUGGGGGAUAUCGGGCCGAAAGGCGCGGCAAUCCCGCAUACGUUCCGGGAAACCGGAAGAAAGCUUGGCAACAGGCGCUCACAGGGGAGCUCGCGGCCCAUUAGCUAGUUGGGGGGGUAAUGGCCUCCCAAGGCGACGAUGGGUAGCCGGCCUGAGAGGGUGAACGGCCACACUGGGACUGAGACACGGCCCAGACUCCUACGGGAGGCAGCAGUAGGGAAUCUUCCACAAUGGGCGCAAGCCUGAUGGAGCAACGCCGCGUGAGUGAAGACGGCCUUCGGGUUGUAAAGCUCUGUCUGUCGGGACGAAGACCGGCCCGGAAGGGCCGGGGAGCCGGUACCGACGGAGGAAGCCCCUGCAAACUACGUGCCAGCAGCCGCGGUAAGACGUAGGGGGCAAGCGUUGUCCGGAAUUACUGGGCGUAAAGGGCGUGUAGGCGGUGCGAUACGUAGCGGUUUUAAGCCUCCGGCUCACCCGGAGGAGGGCGGCUAAACGGUCGCGCUAGAGGGCAGGAGAGGUGCGUGGAAUUCCUGGUGGAGCGGUGAAAUGCGUAGAGAUCAGGAAGAACACCCGUGGCGAAGGCGGCGCACUGGCCUGGCCCUGACGCUGAGGCGCGACAGCGUGGGGAGCGAACGGGAUUAGAUACCCCGGUAGUCCACGCCGUAAACGAUG